rnacentral:rRNA from 1 species
GACGAACGCUGGCGGCGUGCUUAACACAUGCAAGUCGAACGGAAAGGCCCCUUUGGGGGUACUCGAGUGGCGAACGGGUGAGUAACACGUGAGUAACCUGCCCUUGACUUCGGGAUAACUUCAGGAAACUGGGGCUAAUACCGGAUAGGAAUCCUUGCUGCAUGGUGGGGGUUGGAAAGCUUCGGCGGUUUUGGAUGGACUCGCGGCUUAUCAGCUUGUUGGUGGGGUAGUGGCUUACCAAGGCUUUGACGGGUAGCCGGCCUGAGAGGGCGACCGGCCACAUUGGGACUGAGAUACGGCCCAGACUCCUACGGGAGGAAGCAGUGGGGAAGAUUGCACAAUGGGCGGAAGCCUGAUGCAGCAGCGCCGCGUGCGGGAUGACGGCCUUCGGGUUGUAAACCGCUUUCAGCAGGGGCGAAGCUUGUGGUGACGGUACCUGCAGAAGAAGCACCGGCUAACUACGUG